AACCACCUUUACAUGCGGUAGUAUCACCAUAGGUGUAGUUUGUUCACACAUGAUCAUGGAUGGAACUGCUAUGGCUUCAUUUCUAAAAGCUUGGGCUGCCACUGCAUCGUCCAAGUCUAGUACAGGAAUCAUAUCCCCUAAUUUUGAUGCUUCCUCUCUCUUUCCACAGCAUGGCGAAUUCCCAAAAGAGGCAACUGCAAUGGCCCUCUGCGAACCCUUUAUCAGAA
rnacentral:misc_RNA from 1 species